AUUGAACGCUGGCGGCAUGCUUUACACAUGCAAGUCGAACGGUAACAGGGUGCUUGCACCGCUGACGAGUGGCGAACGGGUGAGUAAUGCGUCGGAACGUGCCGAGUAGUGGGGGAUAACGCAGCGAAAGUUGUGCUAAUACCGCAUACGUACUGAGGUAGAAAGUGGGGGACCUUCGGGCCUCACGCUAUUCGAGCGGCCGACGUCGGAUUAGCUAGUAGGUGAGGUAAAGGCUCACCUAGGCGACGAUCAGUAGCGGGUCUGAGAGGAUGAUCCGCCACACUGGGACUGAGACACGGCCCAGACUCCUACGGGAGGCAGCAGUGGGGAAUUUUGGACAAUGGGCGAAAGCCUGAUCCAGCCAUGCCGCGUGUCUGAAGAAGGCCUUCGAGUUGUAAAGGACUUUUGUCAGGGAGGAAAUCCCUAGUGCUAAUAACACUGGGGGAUGACAGUACCUGAAGAAUAAGCACCGGCUAACUACGUGCCAGCAGCCGCGGUAA
rnacentral:rRNA from 1 species